rnacentral:rRNA from 1 species
CUAUUACGCAGGGGGGGUCCAAGGGCGGGGCGGGGGGUUUUAGCCGAUGGACAACAGGUUGAUAUUCCUGUACUACCUAUAAGACUGAUGGAGUGACGGAGAAGGUUAGGAAAAGCCAGUUAUUGGAUUCUGGUCUAAGCACAAAGGCUUAUAAAUUAGGAAAUCUGUUUAUAAUUAAGCUGAAGUGUGAUGGUGAAGUCGCUUGCGACGAAAUUUUCUGACACCAUGCUUCCAAGAAAAGCUUCUAGGGUUAAUCUUAUAGGUACCCGUACUCAGAACCGACACAGGUGGUCAAGGAGAGUAUCCUAAGGUGAGCGAGAGAACUAUGGUUAAGGAACUCGGCAAAAUAACCCCGUAACUUCGGGAGAAGGGGUGGUCACUAGAUGACCGACACUAAAGACGCCCAGGCAACUGUUUACCAAAAACACAGGUCUCUGCUAAGUCGUAAGACGAUGUAUAGGGGCUGACACCUGCCCAGUGCUGGAAGGUUAAGAGGAGUGCUUAGAUAGACGCAAGUCGAUUAUUCGAAGGUACGAAUUGAAGCCCCAGUGAACGGCGGCCGUAACUAUAACGGUCCUAAGGUAGCGAAAUUCCUUGUCAGGUAAGUUCUGACCCGCACGAAAGGUGUAAUGAUCUGGGCACUGUCUCAACCAUAGACUCGGUGAAAUCUUAAUACCUGUGAAAAUGCAGGUUACCCGCAACAGGACGGAAAGACCCCAUGGAGCUUUACUGUAGCUUGAUAUUGAAGUUCGGUAUAUUAUGUAGAGAAUAGGUGGGAGACUAUGAAGUUAGGACGCUAGUUCUAAUGGAGUCACCUUUGGAAUACCACCCUUAAUGUAUUGAAUUUCUAACCUCGAUCCAUUAUCUGGAUCAGGGACAGUGUCUGGUGGGCAGUUUGACUGGGGCGGUCGCCUCCCAAAAAGUAACGGAGGCGCCCAAAGGUUCCCUCAGAAUGGUUGGACAUCAUUCAAAGAGCGUAAAGGUAUAAGGGAGCUUGACUGCGAGACCAACAAGUCGAGCAGAUACGAAAGUAGGGCUUAGUGAUCAGACGAUUCAGAAUGGAAUGGUCGUCGCUUAACGGAUAAAAGUUACCCUGGGGAUAACAGGCUGAUACCACCCAAUAGUUCACAUAGACGGUGGUGUUUGGCACCUCGAUGUCGGCUCGUCGUAUCCUGGAGGGGAAGGCGCUUCCCAGG